GAAAACGGCCUUGAUUCAUAAGGCCGCUCCCAACUUCAAGAUCCUGUCCAACAUUGUCUUCUGAAGGUUGGAGUAUAAAGAGGUGACACAGUCCAAAAGACUAAGGAUAUAAGGUCCCUGUCCUUGGGAAAGGCAGCCUUAGAGAGCAGGCAACUUUCUUUGAGAAGAGGAGGGCGAUCCAGCAACAACAACUGAGCAUUCAAGUCUUAGAAGAAUCCUGGAAAGAUUUAUAAAAUACUGGAUAUUGGUACAUCUAGAAAACAGAACGCUUCAAACACAGUUGGACCUUGCUCUGAUUUUGCAUGGUAGAAGAGAAAGGAUGCAACCAUGUCUGACCAUGUCAGAUAAAGAAUCAAUAGCUGUUCACUUCUGUAAGGUAAGCUAUCAUCUUUGAACCUUCUUGAGCACUUUCACUUAUCUUCAGAAAAUAUAAUCUGACUCAGCUUGUUUCACGGAAAGCACAAGGGAUUUCUUGCCUUUGAGUUAAAUGGAAGCUAGGAUUCUGUAGUCCUUUUUCAUCAAGUGUAUAAGUUUUAGUAGAAGCUUAAUCUAUAAGGAUUUUUUGAUCUGCAGUAAUAGAUUGUAAGCACUAUGCAUUUUUCAGAGAUACUAUAUACAUUGAUUGGGUAUUUAUUUUGUAUAUAACCACCAAUUAUCUAUUUUAACCAUCAACUUUAAUAAUAAUAAUAGCAGUGUGGUCAGCUGAAUAAU
rnacentral:lncRNA from 1 species